ACAAGUAGAUGCUUCAACAAAGCGAGUGUGCGUAUGUUUCAAUUUAUCAACAUAAUCAAUGGAACCAAUGAUUUUGUUCCUAUACACAUCUUCCACUUUUGCAUGAAAGCAAAGGGAGAAAGAAAAAUGUAAUCUCUACAAAAUUGUUUGUUUGAACUAGAUACUAUCAUGUGUGUCGGUGUCUCAGACGUAUUCAAGUGAGAACCGACAUGAUAUUUAAGAAGACAUCUUCUUUGCAAGGAAUUGUAAGACCACCCAUUGGAUGAUGGUACCCAUAUUCUUCCACUGCUUUGCUUAGCAAGUCCUGGAACGAGGGUUGAUUUAAGCAUCCAAUCGGAAUCACGAACCUCUUCUUUUUCUCUCCGACAUACACUGCAAGGGUACUGAAAACUUAUAUUCAGUGGUUGCAUUUGUACAAUGCCAUUCAUUGUGAUAACAGCUUGCAUGACAAGUCCUCGCCAACAGCACGGAAGGUACUUAAGAUUGAACUCUCCAUCAGCACCUCAGAGUUUACUACGGAACAAGUACAAAGCAACAUACAAUUUAAUUGCAGACUGAGACAUUGUUUGUUGCAUUUGUAUAUUCCUCUAUUGUCAUUGUUGUGUGUAUUUGGAUGAAGUAUUGGAAUAAUGGAAUAUACCUUCAGUUUCACUC